UCAGGUGCCUAUAUCGGCGGUGUCUACCUCUUCCCAUUCCGAACAGAGAAGUCAAGCCCGCCAGAGCCGAUGGUAUUGCCGUAACAGGUGGGAGAGUAGGUCGGUGCCUUUUUUAAUACGAAGCCCCUUCAGGAAACUGGAGGGGCUUUUGUU
rnacentral:rRNA from 1 species